GGUCCACCUUGCGGGUGGGCGACACUCGUCUGUUGCUGGAAAUAAACCUCCUCAGGGAGUCAAUCAGCUGCUGUGCGCUCCCCGAGCGCAUAGCCCACAGAUCAAACACGAGUGGCUGUCUCCGAGUCGGUUAAGAUAUGACCGUAGCGGCUCCGCAAGGAGAUCGAUAUACUAGUUCCGUAGGUGAACCUGCGGAAGGAU
rnacentral:rRNA from 1 species